UACGUAGGGGGCAAGCGUUGUCCGGAAUCAUUGGGCGUAAAGAGCGUGUAGGCGGUUCGGUAAGUCGGCUGUGAAAUCUCGGAGCUUAACUCCGAAACUGCAUUCGAUACUGCCGUGCUUGAGGACUGGAGAGGAGACUGGAAUUUACGGUGUAGCGGUGAAAUGCGUAGAUAUCGUAAGGAAGACCAGUGGCGAAGGCGGGUCUCUGGACAGUUCCUGACGCUGAGGCACGAAGGCCAGGGGAGCAAACGGG
rnacentral:rRNA from 1 species